rnacentral:rRNA from 1 species
AUUAAUAAGCGGAGGAAAAGAAACUAACCAGGAUUCCCCUAGUAACGGCGAGUGAAGCGGGAAGAGCCCAGCACCGAAUCGCACGCCGCCACGGCGUCGCGAACUGUGGUGUUUAGGACGAGCGCAUGCACGGCGAAACGGCGUCCGAGUCCUCCUGAUCGGGGCUUUGCCAGAGCGGGUGUCAGCCCUCUACGGCGCCGGCGUCGACGUGCCCGCCACGUCCUCGGAGUCGGGUUGUUUGAGAAUGCAGCCCAAAGCGGGUGGUAAACUCCAUCUAAGGCUAAAUACAGACACGAGUCCGAUAGCGAACAAGUACCGUGAGGGAAAGUU